rnacentral:rRNA from 1 species
AGUGAACGCUGGCGGUAUGCCUAACACAUGCAAGUCGAACGGCAGCACAGUAAGAGCUUGCUCUUACGGGUGGCGAGUGGCGGACGGGUGAGGAAUACAUCGCAAUCUACUUUUUCGUGGGUGAUAACGUGGGGAAACUUACGCUAAUACCUCAUACGACCUACGGGUGAAAGCAGGGGAUCUUCGGACCUUUCGCGAUUGUAUGAGCCGAUGUCGGAUUAGCUAGUUGGCGGGGUAAAGGCCCACCAAGGCGACGAUCCGUAGCUGGUCUGAGAGGAUGAUCGGCCACACUGGAACUGAGACACGGUCCAGACUCCUACGGGAGGCAGCAGUGGGGAAUAUUGGACAAUGGGCGAAAGCCUGAUCCAGCCAUACCGCGUGAGUGAAGAAGGCCUUCGGAUUGUAAAGCCCUUUUGUUGGGAAAGAAAAACAGCAGGUGAAUACCCGGCUGUUCUGACGGUACCCAAAGAAUAAGCACCGGCUAACUUCGUG